rnacentral:rRNA from 1 species
CACGUAGGGAGCAAACGUUGUCCGGAUUUAUUGGGCGUAAAGAGCUCGUAGGCGGUUCGAUAAGUCAGGUGUGAAAUCUCGGGGCUUAACUCCGAAACUGCAUUCGAUACUGCCGUGCUUGAGGACUGGAGAGGAGACUGGAAUUUACGGUGUAGCGGUGAAAUGCGUAGAUAUCGUAAGGAAGACCAGUGGCGAAGGCGGGUCUCUGGACAGUUCCUGACGCUGAGGCACGAAGGCCAGGGGAGCAAACGGG